GGUGAUUGUGUGUCUGUCUUCGGCAUACACCUUGAAGGACUGCAACAAUCCGGGAAGAGUUGACGGGUCCUGCGCUGAUGGCAAUGAACAAGAUGAUGUGCAGUGGCCUAGUAGAAGAGGAGACACAUUUUUCACGAAGUGUUUUUUAAUUACCAUCAAGUGAUCAUGGUAAAUUUCCAAAUAGUCAUUGAUGGGACUUAGUUUAUAUUCAGGUAUUCACAUCAAAGAUGAUACUGUCCAUUACCAGUUAACAAGUUGUAUCCUGCCACUUGCUUGUCAUAAGUAUGUUUCUUAAGAUUCUAGCAGUCCUGACACCACAGUGAUAGACCGUGGUCGUCAGUAGGAACUUUCCGGUAAGCAGCUAUGUGAUAUUGUGGAUGUCACCAAUUAGUUGAGAUCAACUGUUCUUGAGAUAGGUAAGUGAAAAUGGUGUCCCAAACACUGACCACAGCGUUAACAUAUCUUUUCUGCAAGUAUCCUGUUAAAGUUUUGCUGUUGCACAGGCAUGAGAUGAUGUCCCAUCAGUUCAUUAGACAUCCCUAUUUUCCAAUAUGCAUGUGAUCAUUGAUAUUUGAAUACUCUUCCGUUACACAUACUCCUGGCUUAUAUGCAGCAGUUUAAUUUGUCCCUAAUA